CCUCAACAAUCCCUGGGUGCCCUUUCCAUUCAGCUAGGAGCAUCUGCACCCCUUUGUGGCAGCAGCUGUUUCGUUAUCACCGCUGAGCUCUUCAUGUGGUGCAGAGCCAGCCCAGGGAGGCGUCUCCUGCUCGCCUCUCUCGCUGUGGACCCAGAACCUGAGUGUCCAGCUGGGUAUCUCUGGCUCUGAAAAGGGGCUUGGAGCAGCCUGCAGGGACAGGGUUGUUUUACCAGACAGGGAAGACACAGCUGGAGGUGCAGCAGCAGUGCCACGGUGCCUUCUUGUAACAUGCUGGGCCAAGCCGCCUCCAGCCACAGCUCCCAUGGGACGUUGGAUAGAGCACAGAGCAGAUCCCCCUGCAUCACCACGGGCUGGGGGGCUCAGC
rnacentral:lncRNA from 1 species